rnacentral:rRNA from 1 species
GAUGAACGCUGACAGAAUGCUUAACACAUGCAAGUCGACUUGAAUUUGGGUUUUUAACUUAGGUUUGGGUGGCGGACGGGUGAGUAACGCGUAAAGAACUUGCCUCACAGCUAGGGACAACAUUUGGAAACGAAUGCUAAUACCUAAUAUUAUGAUAAUAGGGCAUCCUAUAAUUAUGAAAGCUAUAAGCGCUGUGAGAGGGCUUUGCGUCCCAUUAGCUAGUUGGCGAGGUAACGGCUCACCAAGGCGAUGAUGGGUAGCCGGCCUGAGAGGGUGAUCGGCCACAAGGGGCCUGAGACACGGCCCUUACUCCUACGGGAGGCAGCAGUGGGGACUAUUGGACAAUGGACCGAGAGUCUGAUCCAGCAAUUCUGUGUGCACGAUGAAGUUUUUCGGAAUGUAAAGUGCUUUCAGUUGGGAAGAAACAAAUGACGGUACCAACAGAAGAAGUGACGGCUAAAUACGUG